CGAAUAGCAACAACAGGUUUGUAAAGGCCACGGUUUCCAAGGGUGCAUUAUUGCUUUAUGCUUUUGUUCCUCAAUCCAGAGCUUCAAUUAUUCAAGAUUACUGCGAUCUACGAUCAAAUUAUCAUCUGUGAAGCGUGCUUCAGGAAGUUCCACACUCACAAUUAGUUAUCAAAGAUGGCAGCAUCAAAACUGCGAUUGGCACUCAUCCAGCUAAGUGUAGGCAUGAAGAAAGCAGAGAACAUAUCAAGGGCUCUUCAGAAAGUAAAGGAAGCUGCAGGAAAUGGUGCUGAAGUCGUGGCUCUUCCAGAGUGUUUCAACUCCCCAUAUGG